rnacentral:rRNA from 1 species
GACGAACGCUGGCGGCGUGCUUAACACAUGCAAGUCGAACGGUAAGGCCCCUUCGGGGGUACACGAGUGGCGAACGGGUGAGUAACACGUGAGCAACCUGCCCUUGACUUUGGGAUACCAGCUGGAAACAGCUGCUAAUACCGGAUAUGACCUCUUCUCUCAUGGGUUGAGGUGGAAAGCUCCGGCGGUCAGGGAUGGGCUCGCGGCCUAUCAGCUUGUUGGUGAGGUAAUGGCUCACCAAGGCUUCGACGGGUAGCCGGCCUGAGAGGGCGACCGGCCACACUGGGACUGAGAUACGGCCCAGACUCCUACGGGAGGAAGCAGUGGGGAAGAUUGCACAAUGGGCGCAAGCCUGAUGCAGCAACGCCGCGUGCGGGAUGACGGCCUUCGGGUUGUAAACCGCUUUCAGUAGGGACGAAGCUAACGUGACGGUACCUACAGAAGAAGGACCGGCUAACUACGUG